UUUUGGACAAUGGGGGCAACCCUGAUCCAGCAAUGCCGCGUGAGUGAAGAAGGCCUUCGGGUUGUAAAGCUCUUUUGUCAGGGAAGAAACACCUGCUCUAACACAGUCCGGGAAUGACGGUACCUGAAGAAUAAGCACCGGCUAACUACGUGCCAGCAGCCGCGGUAAUACGUAGGGUGCAAGCGUUAAUCGGAAUUACUGGGCGUAAAGCGUGCGCAGGCGGUUAUACAAGACAGGCGUGAAAUCCCCGGGCUUAACCUGGGAAUGGCGCCUGUGACUGUAUAGCUAGAGUGUGUCAGAGGGGGGUAGAAUUCCACGUGUAGCAGUGAAAUGCGUAGAUAUGUGGAGGAAUACCAAUGGCGAAGGCAGCCCCCUGGGAUAACACUGACGCUCAUGCACGAA
rnacentral:rRNA from 1 species